ensembl:lncRNA
GGCCUUAUCUGCUGGUGAGAUCAUGCAUCGCUGCUUUAUCCUUCCAUGCAUCGAGCCCAACAUUAUCUGUCGCAUUGGACAUGCCACAGAAUCGCUCCAGUGCUGGAGAGUUCAGCGAAUCAUGCAAAAGCAGCGCACAGAAUCUGGGCGAGCGUGACUCACACAGCCCUGCUGGAGUGUCUGCUGUCAGCAGAUCUGUCUUAGUGGGUGACAGGAGAGAAAUAAUGACAGCCCUGCUCGUAACAUGA